rnacentral:tRNA from 1 species
AAAAACUUAGUUAAAUAAUAACAUUAGCUUGUCAAGCUAAAAUUAUCACUAGAUAGUUUUUA